ensembl:lncRNA
UCUCUACCACCUAGGACUUAAAGUUCGGCUGUCUGCUUCAAACACAUUUACACUGAAAUAUAUCUAAGGCCACUUUCCCAAAAGUGCUGGGUUCUAACGUUAGAGAUCCACUCCGUCUGUUUUCUGUUUCACACUUCGUGAUUCCUCACGCAGGAAAUGGCCCAAAGCAGUAACUGCGUUUGGAAAACAACAACAACAACAACUAAGCUAAGCAAUAAAACGCUCGGACUGCUACACUCAGUAGGAUAAGCAACAGAAUAGAGAGAUCCUACAGAAAAGAGAUCCGAGUUUAUCCCGUUGUUUUGGAAGGCACAGCUUCGUCCUGUACUACAGGGCUGUCGCUAAAACAGCAAAGCAGCAAGAGUCGAGGAUACUCACACUGGACUAAGGUUUUGAAAUGACCUCAGAAUUGCUUCUUCAGCCUCCUUCCUUUCACAUGUUGCCUCCAAAAUAAACUAUGUAAUGCAC